rnacentral:rRNA from 1 species
GACGAACGCUGGCGGCGUGCCUAAUACAUGCAAGUAGAACGCUGAAGAGAGGAGCUUGCUCUUCUUGGAUGAGUUGCGAACGGGUGAGUAACGCGUAGGUAACCUGCCUUGUAGCGGGGGAUAACUAUUGGAAACGAUAGCUAAUACCGCAUAACAAUGGAUGACACAUGUCAUUUAUUUGAAAGGGGCAAUUGCUCCACUACAAGAUGGACCUGCGUUGUAUUAGCUAGUAGGUGAGGUAAUGGCUCACCUAGGCGACGAUACAUAGCCGACCUGAGAGGGUGAUCGGCCACACUGGGACUGAGACAAGGCCCAGACUCCUACGGGAGGCAGCAGUAGGGAAUCUUCGGCAAUGGGGGCAACCCUGACCGAGCAACGCCGCGUGAGUGAAGAAGGUUUUCGGAUCGUAAAGCUCUGUUGUAAGUCAAGAACGGGUGUGAGAGUGGAAAGUUCACACUGUGACGGUAGCUUACCAGAAAGGGACGGCUAACUACGUG